rnacentral:rRNA from 1 species
UACGGGGGGGGCAAGCGUUGUUCGGAAUUACUGGGCGUAAAGGGCUCGUAGGCGGCCAACUAAGUCGGAUGUGAAAUCCCCAGGCUUAACCUGGGAACUGCAUCCGAUACUGGAUGGCUUGAAUCCGGGAGAGGGAUGCAGAAUUCCAGGUGUAGCGGUGAAAUGACGUAGAUAUCUGGAGGAACACCGGUGGCGAAGGCGGCAUCCUGGACCAACACUGACACUGGAGGAGCGAAAGCCAGGGGAGCAAACGGGAGUUAG